UUUGUCUAAGUGGUCUCUGGUGUUUGUUUUAAAGUAUAUUUGAUGUAAAAGUAGCAUCACCGUGUCUAUAUGGGGACUCAUAUAUUUUAUAUAUUAUUUUUAUUUAGUAUAUAUUUUGAAUGCAAUUUCCCAAAGACUAAAAAGAAAAGCUAAUAUGAGGCAGAACGCACGCUUGCUGUUCUCUGGUGAAUUCUCUCUUCAUAAACAACGAUGUACAGCUGUGCAUACAAUGUACAGAUACUUCUAGAGCAUAUAUGGAGGAGACUUCAGUCACGUUUGGAGCUCUUUCACGGAUGCCUGUGCAUGUGGACUUCUUAGAACUGAUCUGUGUUCAGGAGCUGGUUUUCCUGAGUGCUGUAUCCUCCAGUCUUAUAGUCCAUCGAUAAGGGUCAGAGGAGAACGUGGACAUUGCACGUUUAAUGUUCUCAGUUCGUGGCACAGGGAGAAGCAGUUCAUUUCAGGAAAAAAGUGUCCACAAUCAAAGAAUAGAAGGACUGUGGAGAGAUGUGUGGACUGCAGUGACCAGUGUGUACUAUGAUGUACUACACUAUCUUGAGGAAGCCAGCUACCUUCAUACUGCAGACCAAACACAUCUCUUCUGUUGCACUACACAUUCCUUCCAAGGCUACAAGAUGAUCUAAAUCUUUUCUGAGAUGGGUUGGAUAAUCACCCUUUACGAACAGAACACAACACGUCUCCAAACCAGCUC